rnacentral:pre_miRNA from 1 species
UACGUACUCCCUCCGUUCCAAAUUACUCGUCGUAGAAAUGAAUGUAUCUAGAACUAAAAUACAUCUAGAUACAUCCAUACUUGCGACAAGUAAUUUGGAACGGAGGGAGUAGUUG